GGCCCGGGGCGCCCAGUUCCCGGGCCAGCGGUCGCGGCGGCGCCAGAGCCCGCGGAGGACGGCCGGCAGCGCGCCAGGUGCGGGAGGAAACUAGACUUGGGCGUCCACCCGAGGACUUGGGCGACCGUAUUAGCACUGCUGCUAUUUCUGCGCAUGGGCAUUGGAGACAUCUGCUUGCAAAGCAAACUUCUCUGCAGGACUAUGGAUGAUACUAGAACUUUACUUGAUAUUAAAGAGUGCCCUGAUCCUGAGAUUCAGAAAAACCGAGUACUAACUCUGGAAGAAUGGCAAGAAAAGUGGGUGGACCACAAAAUUUCAUUUCAUCAAGAGCAAGGACAUCAGCUAUUAAAGAAGCAUUUGGAUUCUUUUCUUAAAGGCGAGAGUGGACUGAGGGUAUUUUUUCCUCUUUGUGGAAAAGCCGUUGAGAUGAAAUGGUUUGCCGACCGAGGACACAGUGUAGUUGGUGUGGAAAUCAGCGAACUUGGGAUACGGGAAUUUUUUAAAGAGCAGGAUCUUUCUUACUCAGAAGAGCCAGUCAUGGAAAUUCCUGGAGCCAAAGUAUUCAAGAGUUCUACAGGGAGCAUCACCUUGUACUGCUGCAGCCUCUUUGACCUGCCCAGAGCAAAUAUUGGCAAAUUUGACAGGAUCUGGGAUAGAGGAGCAUUAGUUGCUGUUAACCCGAGUGAUCAUAAACGCUAUGCAGAUAUAAUGCUGUCCCUAAUGGGAAAAGGGUGUCACUACCUCUUGUGUGUCCUUUCUUACGAUCCAACUAAAUAUGCAGAGCUCGAACUUUAGAAGGAUGGCCCUACUAUAAAAGAGAUGGCAUGAACCCUGGAUUAGGAGGAAGAGGUUUGGUCACCCUGUUGUGGGCAUAGUGUAUGGGUGUCAUCCAUGGUGGCUGUGUUCGGCAGAUGCCUAUAAGCACACAAACACACCCUCAGAGGAUGGGCUGAGCGGACGUGGGGGGUCGGGGAUGUGUAGGAAAAUCUCUAAACUAUUGCUAUUCUUACUUUCUGAGAUUUUAUCAUUUAUCUUUGUCUUGAAUUUAUAAAAAUGAUAUUUUCUUCUAGACUCUUUUUGACUUACUUGAACAUUGCAAGUUUAAUUUGUGUCAUAGCUGAGCUUUAUUUUCAGGAAGAAGUGAAAAGCAAACACGUAGACUUUUAAUUUGUAAAAUCUCCUUUUUGAGUGUUAAUCAAACUUUUUAAAAAGUGCCGUGUUUUCUAAGUAUUUAUAUGUAUUAGUAUUGUGUUUCUGUUGGAGUAAAUCAGAUCUUUAAAACUCGUUAAAAGAUAAGGCCUAGUGUCCAUAAUUAAGUCUGGGGCAAUCAGAUGGGAAUAGAAAUUAAUGGAGACAGACAUCAGCUUUGCUAAUCUGAUUUCACUUCCAUUCCUGAACAGGGCGCUUAGGGAAGGGCGUGUGGGCAGAAGACCAGGAGGCUCUGUGUGGGGUGGAGCUCAGAACACCGCUCUAGAAAAGGGUAGAGGCUAAAUUUCCUUUAAACUCAAUGGCCCGCAGCAAAGCGGGGAGAGUGCACAGAAUGGGGGCGAGUGUGGGUGAACGCAGAAGUCCUCGGAAGUCAGGGCUCCGGACGAUGAAGUAAACCUCAGGGGAGUUUGUGGCUGAGCUCCACUCUGCUUUGAGCGUGCCCGGGUCCCGUGGCAGGCUCAGCUGGCUCACUGGAGCUGUUGCUGGGCACCUCACAUUGCCCACUGCCACCCCCUCAGUCGACUGUUUUGGUGCGAGAUAUGCAGAAGAGGAAGCAGAGAGCCCCGCCGCAUCCUCACCUGCUGGGAUGAUGAAGUUGUGUAUAGGGUAAAAGCAUACCGAGGUCACUGCCCAGAAGCAGAGAAGUGGGCCCUGAGAAUUUAUUUCCCCUUAGAAUUAGAUCUAUAGAGAUUAAUCUUCACCAUGUUUCUCUUUCACCUAGGUCCACCAUUCUACAUCCCAGAUUCUGAAAUUAAAAGCCUGUUUGGAUCCUUGUGCAAUAUUCACUGUCUCGAGAAGGUUGAUGCUUUUGAGGAGCGACAUAAAAGUUGGGGAAUUGACUCCAUUGUUGAAAAGUUAUACCUAUUUACAGAAAAGUAAACAGGACAUAAAUAAAAGCAAGUAAUAUUCACUUGUUUUUUGAGCUUUGGGGCAACUGAAAAUUAUGUUAUGAUGUGAAACUAUAACAGGUGACUUUCGAAAAAAAUUGCUCACAAAUCUUACCACAGAUCUUUGCUCCAAAAUGCAUAUAACUUUUCAGAAAACCACUUCCCUCGUUAUUAGAGUAGCUGCCUUUAGAAUGGAGAGCAUGAUCAGGGGUGCAAGAUUCUACCUGUGUGUUUUACUUACAGACUGCAAGAAAUGUUUGGAAUCAGCAUUCCUUGUAUAAUUAAAAAUAAAAAAUGCAGUGUAUGUACAAGAAAUAUGACAGACAUAGAAAAAUUGGUAUACUUUGUUCUCUUUAUGUAAUUUUAUAUGUAACAGGAUCAAGAAACAAAUUUUAAAAUUAAAUAAAUCAACAUAUAUGGAACAAACUAUUUUUCCCAAACUGUAAAAAUAAAUUUUUUAAAGAAAGAC